AUUCGCCCUUCGGGGUGCAGCAGGCGCGAAACCUUUGCAAUACACGAAAGUGUGACAGGGCUAUCCCGAGUGCCAUCCGCUGAGGAAGGCUUUUACCCAGUCUAGAACGCUGGGGGAAUAAGGAGAGGGCAAGUCUGGUGUCAGCCGCCGCGGUAAUACCAGCUCUCCGAGUGGUGUGGAUGUUUAUUGGGCCUAAAGCAUCCGUAGCUGGCUAGGUAAGUCCCUUGUUAAAUCCACCGAAUUAAUCGUUGGAUCGCGGGGGAUACUGCUUGGCUAGGGGACGAGAGAGGCAGACGGUAUUUUCGGGGUAGGGGUGAAAUCCUAUAAUCCCGGGAAGACCACCAGUGGCGAAGGCUGUCUGCUAGAACGCGCCCGACGGUGAGGGAUGAAAGCUGGGGGAGCGAACCGGAUUAGAUACCCGGGUAGUCCCAGCUGUAAACGAUGCAGACUAGGUGUUUGGACGGCCACGUGCCGUUCUAGUGCCGCAGGGAAGCUGUUAAGUCUGCCGCCUGGGGAGUACGAUCGCAAGAUUGAAACUUAAAGGAAUUGGCGGGGGAGCAC
rnacentral:rRNA from 1 species